rnacentral:rRNA from 1 species
AGCGAACGCUGGCGGCAGGCCUAACACAUGCAAGUCGAACGAACCUUUCGGGGUUAGUGGCGGACGGGUGAGUAACACGUGGGAACGUGCCUUUAGGUUCGGAAUAACUCAGGGAAACUUGUGCUAAUACCGAAUGUGCCCUUCGGGGGAAAGAUUUAUCGCCUUUAGAGCGGCCCGCGUCUGAUUAGCUAGUUGGUAGAGGUAAUGGCUCACCAAGGCGACGAUCAGUAGCUGGUCUGAGAGGAUGAUCAGCCACAUUGGGACUGAGACACGGCCCAAACUCCUACGGGAAGCAGCAGUGGGGAAUCUUGCGCAAUGGGCGAAAGCCUGACGCAGCCAUGCCGCGUGAAUGAUGAAGGUCUUAGGAUUGUAAAAUUCUUUCACCGGGGACGAUAAUGACGGUACCCGGAGAAGAAGCCCCGGCUAACUUCGUG